UAACCUGUAUUUUAAAGGAAUAUAAAGGAAAGAUUCUUAUCAUGCAGAAAAAAAAGGAAGAAAUGAAGGCAGAAAAUGUGAAGACCACCUCGUUGAAAGCAGCCCUCCCUCUUUUGCUUGGAAACAUUUUCUGGGUUCAGAAGAAUUAAAAGUAGUGCUUGCAAAGAACUCACCAGAGUAACAGAACAGAGUAAGCCGAGCAAUUCCCAAUUGCCACAACAGGCUGGCUUUUUCUGCCAUACCUGGCUAGUCUGUGCUGCUUUACGAGACUGCGAGGGCUUCCUCCGGUUGAUCUGGUGUCGCCGAACCCAACCACUGAGCUCAUCUGCCAACCUGCAGGUAGGUGGGAGAACAGGCAAAAGGAGGGUUACUCCCAACUGUCCUAGGACUGACUCAAUGUUCCCAAAAGGGCUCAGUGCAAGCAAAAUGACAGAAAUGUUUACCCACAAACACAUACGCAUUGGAGGACUGUGUGGAAUCAGAGAAAAAGUCUGUCUGCUCCAGCAUUCUGUCCAUUCUGCAGCCAAAUAGGUGGCCAACAGAAAAAAAAUAUGACUGGAAAAGUAUUCUGCAGUCUGUGUUGCCCAGUGAGUGGUAUACAACUGCAGCUGCUAGAGAUAACAUACAGCCCUCCUGACCAACUCUCCUGACACCGAAUCUACCUGAGUGAUUCAGUGCGGUUGAACUGGCGGCAAUCUGAAGUGAGGAAGAGCUUGUUGAUAUCCCUCAACAUCAGGUCCUUCAUCUCUGAGAAGGGAGCUGAGAGGUUCCUGCAAUUGGGGGAAGAAGGCAGACAAAAUUGAAAUACUGAAGAUCAAUAGCAAAGAGAAAUGGCCGUUCAGCAUGAGCCAAAAAACCACACACAGAGCCAUUUGUGAGCAGUGAGGAACUUAUGGCAGGUUACCAAACACAGAGCAUGAUAUAUCAAAACUGCAAUUAGACUGACUAAAUAAUAAAUAGGUGUUAUUUAACAGAGACUGGAAAUGCUUUUUCCAGCACCUAUGUUGGAAGGAGGAUUUGGGAAACUACCGCUCCCCAUGUCCUGCUACUGAUUCAUGCGAAUGGCUGGGAAAUGUAGUUAUUGUUGUUAUUUCCCUUUUCCCUAACACUGGGACUCAAAGCAGCUCAUAACUUAACAUAUAGUGCAUUUUUUUAAAAUACAAACUUUUAAUAUUAGAAUACAAUUAAACUAUUUAUAGUAUUUAAACAAAUCGCACCUAAGAAUAAUAUAUUUUUAAUAAAUAAAUAAAUAAACACACACUCUUAUAAACAGUUCAGCUAAAGCAGGCAUGGGCAAGCUUCAGCUGUCCAGGUGUUUUGGAUUGCAACUCACACAAUUCCUAACAGUCUGCCAGAACUGUAGACUUGAUGUCCAAAACACCUGGAGGGCUGAAAUUUGCCCAUGCCUGAGCUAAAGUAAUACAAAAAUGCAACUCCAGUCUAUUAUUUAUAAACACUUUCUCAUUUAACAGCCUGCCUGAAUAAUGGGAAAGGGCCAUUUUGGUUACCCUGGAAAGGUAGUUCCAGAGUCCAGGGGCCCCUACUGAGAAGGAAGGCCCUCUCUUUUGUCCCAACCAACUUGAUUGUGAUUGGUAGUGAAACUGAAAGAAGACACUCUCCUGAGGAUUUCAGAGCCCAGGGCCAAUGCAAACACAAAGAAUUCUUCCUAAUUCUCAUGAUUGACAGGAAUAUGGAAGCAGUCCCCCAUGCCACUUUUUGGCACCUUCUGGUUUUGUUUUGGGUUUUUUUUUGUCACCUCCUUGUUAUUUCUCUCCUGCAGUCUAGACAUCCAAAUUACCGGAAUGAUGUCUUCCCAGGCUUGGCUGGGGCCUCGUAUUGUCGCUCUUCCGGCUCCUCUUCUGGAAUGUCUGGCAAUUCCCCUGCAAUCCCUAAAAGAUGCCUCUGGCCUGGGGCAGGCUCCACUUCCUGCUUGGGAAGGACCACGUCUGUCAUCUUAUGCUCACUGAUGCUGGAGAGAAGGGGAAACAGAGUCAAUGCCACAGAAACUCUUGGGAGGCCUUACUAGAGAAUUGACACUGAUCUACGUUACAAUAUAAAAUAAGUUUGCCAACAGCAAAAUUAACAGGACUGGCUACCAAACAGUUUGACACAGUUCUUCUUGGGAAGGGAGAAGUGUGAUAAGGGAAGCAAGAUGAAUCAGGCUCCAUACAACAAUGAGUUGGGGCUGAGGAGGAGAAGGGUUUAUACGGCAAUGUAGACUCAUUUAUUUAUUUGCCCCAUUUAUACCCCGCCUUUCUCACCUCGAAGGGGACUCAAGGCAGCUUACACAUGGUACAAUUCGAUGCCCCAAAACACAUAUAAAAUCAAAGCUUAAAAUAUUAAAUAUUUUAAAAAAUUAGACAUAAAAAUUUAAACAUUACAACAGUUAAAAUCACACCAACCAAAAAAUCAUGGUCUAAAGCCAUAUAAUUCAGUGCCAAGCAGAUAAUGUGGAUUAUCUGCUUUGAUAAACUGGAUUAUAUGGCAGUGUAGAAGGGGCCUAAGAGAGAGCCUGUCAAUCCAUAAAUGUGGAGGGCCAACUGUACAAACAGAAUGGGAGGAUUGAAACAGUGGAAUCCAAAGUGAAAUGUUUAAGAUGUAAAUGCAUGUUUGUAGAUUUCAUAAGUGUACAAAAGAACAAGGACUGAUGAUGAAGUAUGAUAAUUUGUUCAUGAGAUUAACUAUAGAAAAAUGAAUCACCAAAAAGAACUGGAUUUUAUUCCUACAGAAAGGAAGUUACCAGGCAAGUUAAGAUGAGGAACAGUUUCAUUCCAGGAGAAAUGAGAAAGGCUUCCUUAACCAGUCUGUUGAGUUUAGCUCGGUCUCCAACAAGCACAUACAGGCCUGCAAGAUGACUUUACACUCUCACAUAAUGUAAUCGGUAUUCCCCGGGGUUCUGGCAGGUUCAAAAGGUAUUCAGACAGAAGAUGCUUUGUGAAGUUGUCUAUUCAUUAGCAUUGAGAAUGGAGCCUCACCUGACAGGCCCAAAAUUGAAGGCUAUGAAGAGCAGUACAACCAUGACGCAGAUGACUUUCCGGUUUCCAGAACCAAAUUUUAGUUCGCUGUUCUAAAUGGGAAAAGAAGAGGCAGGCUGUUAGCUACAAUGGCAUACUCCCGAAUUAGAAUCUGUGCCUUCUUCAUAAUGAAGCAUAAAGCCUUUGUGACUACAGUAGAGUCUCGCUUAUCCAACAUUCGCUUACCCAACGUUCUGGAUUAUCCAACGCAUUUUUGUAGUCAAUGUUUUCAAUAUAUCGUGAUUUUUGGGUGCUAAAUUCAUAAAUACAGUAAUUACUACGUAACAUUACUGCAUAUUGAACUACUUUUUCUGUCAAAUUUGUUGUAUAACAUGAUGUUUUGGUGCUUAAUUUGUAAAAUCAUAACUUAAUUUGAUGUUUAAUAGACUUCUCCUUCAUCUCUCCUUAUUAUCCAAUAUAUUCGCUUAUCCAACGUUCUGCUGGCCCGUUUAUGUUGGAUAAGUGAGACUCUACUGUAUAUAUUGGACCUAACGCCUGUAUACUACAGCACACAAGGAGCAGAGCGAGCAUGCUGCAGUGGUUUGAGUGCUGGGUUAGGACCCUGUAGACCAGAUAUGAAUCCCUAUUUGGGUAUGGAAGCCCAUUGGGUGACCUUGGGCAAGUAACACUCUCUCAGCCUCAGAGGCAAGCAAUAACAAAUCCCUUUGGAACAAAUCCUGCCCAAAAAAACCCAUGACAGGGUGACCUUAAGGUUGCGAUAUGUUAGAAACAACUUGUAAACACACGACAAUCUUUUCCUUUCUAUCCCUUCUCUUUCUUCCUCCCGCCUCUCUGCCAUCUAUUUCCCCUCCCUUUACCUUUACCUAGAAUGCUGCAAUAAAGAAAGAUUGCUCUCUUA